rfam:Blastomyces gilchristii SLH14081 genomic scaffold supercont1.13, whole genome shotgun sequence.
GGUCCCGUAGUGUAGUGGUUAUCACGGUGGAUUUUGAUGCUCUUCUCGAUUUUCCACUGACCCCGGUUCGAAUCCGGGCGGGACCU